rnacentral:rRNA from 1 species
CCCUUAGAUGUUCUGGGCCGCACGCGCGCUACACUGACGAAUUCAACGAGCUUAUAACCUUGGCCGAAAGGUCUAGGUAAUCUCCAAAAUUCGUCGUGAUGGGGAUAGAUUAUUGCAAUUAUUAAUCUUCAACGAGGAAUGCCUAGUAAGCGCAAGUCAUCAGCUUGCGUUGAUUACGUCCCUGCCCUUUGUACACACCGCCCGUCGCUACUACCGAUUGAAUGAUUUAGUGAGGACUUCGGACUGGGACCGAUGCGGCUUUCGGGCUGCGUCGGUAUUCUGGAAAGAUGUCCAAACUGUAUCAUUUAGAGGAAGUAAAAGUCGUAACA